rnacentral:rRNA from 1 species
UGGGGAAUAUUGGACAAUGGGCGAAAGCCUGAUCCAGCCAUGCCGCGUGUGUGAAGAAGGUCUUCGGAUUGUAAAGCACUUUAAGUUGGGAGGAAGGGCAGCAAGCGAAUACCUUGCUGUUUUGACGUUACCGACAGAAUAAGCACCGGCUAACUCUGUGCCAGCAGCCGCGGUAAUACAGAGGGUGCAAGCGUUAAUCGGAAUUACUGGGCGUAAAGCGCGCGUAGGUGGUUCGUUAAGUUGAAUGUGAAAGCCCCGGGCUCAACCUGGGAACUGCAUCCAAAACUGGCGAGCUAGAGUAGGGCAGAGGGUGGUGGAAUUUCCUGUGUAGCGGUGAAAUGCGUAGAUAUAGGAAGGAACACCAGUGGCGAAGGCGACCACCUGGGCUCAUACUGACACUGAGGUGCGAAAGCGUGGGGAGCAAACAGG